rnacentral:tRNA from 1 species
GGAGCUGUAGUGUUUAACAGAUAGCACAGCGGGCUUUUAACUCGCAAGGUGCGGGUGCGAAUCCCGCCGGCUCCACCA